rnacentral:lncRNA from 1 species
UUUCAAUAAAGAAUUAAUUUGGAGCUCAUUUGCUUAAUAUGGUACCGUUUAUGUCCAAAGAAACAAUGUUGAAACAUCAAAUAAGAGCGCGAUACAACCCGAAACAGACCCGAGGCCCCCGAGACCCCGUCCUAUCAAACCAACCCACUCCAUAACAUAACACAGAGCUGCUCGAGGACUCAAAUAAUACAAAAUAACAUCCAGACUACUAAUUGCACAUCGAUUCAAGCAUAAUGAACUAUUGAUUUCUAACUUCUACAUCCGAUGCCGAAACUUAUCA